UACGUAGGGGGCAAGCGUUGUCCGGAAUCAUUGGGCGUAAAGAGCGUGUAGGCGGCCCGGUAAGUCCGCUGUGAAAGUCCAGGGCUCAACCCUGGGAUGCCGGUGGAUACUGUCGGGCUCGAGUCCGGAAGAGGAGUGUGGAAUUCCUGGUGUAGCGGUGAAAUGCGCAGAAUAUCAGGAGGAACACCAAUGGCGAAGGCAGCACUCUGGGACGUGACUGACGGCUGAGACGCGAAAGCGUGGGGAGCAAACAGG
rnacentral:rRNA from 1 species